rnacentral:hammerhead_ribozyme from 1 species
ACACUACUGAGGAGUCCCAUUCCAGGACGAAAUGUGCAUCCAGUAU